AUGUACCACGCGAACACUGCGGUUCUGAGCGCGCCGCCCCGCCUGGCGGCCGCUCGCUACGUUGGGUCAGCC
rnacentral:sRNA from 1 species